rnacentral:rRNA from 1 species
CCUACGGGGGGCAGCAGUGGGGAAUAUUGGACAAUGGGGGCAACCCUGAUCCAGCCAUGCCGCGUGUGUGAAGAAGGCCCUCGGGUUGUAAAGCACUUUCAGUGAGGAAGAACGCCUGGUGGUUAAUACCCAUCAGGAAAGACAUCACUCACAGAAGAAGUACCGGCUAACUCCGUGCCAGCAGCCGCGGUAAUACGGAGGGUGCGAGCGUUAAUCGGAAUUACUGGGCGUAAAGCGCGCGUAGGUGGCUUGAUAAGCCGGUUGUGAAAGCCCCGGGCUCAACCUGGGAACGGCAUCCGGAACUGUCAAGCUAGAGUGCAGGAGAGGAAGGUAGAAUUCCCGGUGUAGCGGUGAAAUGCGUAGAGAUCGGGAGGAAUACCAGUGGCGAAGGCGGCCUUCUGGACUGACACUGACACUGAGGUGCGAAAGCGUGGGUAGCAAACAGGAUUAGAUACCCUGGUAGUC